AUCUUCGGCAAUGGGCGCAAGCCUGACCGAGCGACGCCGCGUGUGCGAUGAAGGCCUUCGGGUUGUAAAGCACUGUCGAGGGGGAGGAAGCCCGCAAGGGUUGACCUAUCCCUGGAGGAAGCACGGGCUAAGUUCGUGCCAGCAGCCGCGGUAAGACGAACCGUGCGAACGUUGUUCGGAUUCACUGGGCUUAAAGGGCGCGUAGGCGGGCACGCCAGUCGGGAGUGAAAUCCCCCGGCCCAACCGGGGAACAGCUCCCGAUACUGCGUGCCUCGAGGGGGGUAGGGGUCGACGGAGCUUCCGGUGGAGCGGUGAAAUGCGUAGAUAUCGGAAGGAACGCCGGUGGCGAAAGCGGUCGACUGGACCCCUUCUGACGCUGAGGCGCGAAAGCCAGGGGAGCAAAC
rnacentral:rRNA from 1 species